rnacentral:rRNA from 1 species
AUUGAACGCUGGCGGCAGGCCUAACACAUGCAAGUCGGGCGAGCGGCGGACGGGUGAGUAAUGUAUGGGGAUCUGCCUGAUGGAGGGGGAUAACUACUGGAAACGGUAGCUAAUACCGCAUACCAUCAGAUGAACCCAUAUGGGAUUAGCUUGUAGGUGAGGUAACGGCUCACCUAGGCGACGAUCCCUAGCUGGUCUGAGAGGAUGAUCAGCCCGACGGGGUGUGAGACGCGGCAGAGACUCUGAUGGGAGGCGGCGGGGUGGAAUAUGGACCGAGGGGCGCAAGCUUGAUGCAGCCUUGCCGCGUGGGUGAAGAGGGCAUUCGGUUUAAAAAGGUUUUUCUGUCGGGGGACUUUCCCGACAGAAGAAGCGCCGGCUAACGCCGUGCCAGCAGCCGCGGUAAUAC